ensembl:lncRNA BCAN-AS1 BCAN antisense RNA 1
AGCCUUCCAUCUAGACUGCACCCUAGGUCCCUCUUGGGAACUCUGGACUGCUCCCCACUGAAUGUGCCAACGCCCCCACUCACCACUGCCUGGCUUUCACUCCCAGUGCCAUGGACUUGGUUCCAAAGGGCUUUGAGAACCUCACAUAAAAACCCACUCCAAAUCUUUGAGGGUCUAAAGGGAAGAUUCUGGCCCCUUCCCAGAGACCCAUCUACUGUAGGGACAGGAAAAGAAGACCUGGGGGGUAGGGAGGGGUAGAUGGUAAAUUUCCUUACCAAGAAAAAUGCCAGCCAGGUGCGGUGUCUCAUGCCUAUAAUCCCAGCAUUGGAAGGCCAAGGUGGGCGGAUCACCUGAAGUCGGGAGUUCAAGACCAGCCUAGUGAACAUAGCGAAACCCCAUCUCUACUAAAAAAAUACAAAAAUUAGCCGGUGUGGUGGUGGACACCUGUAAUCCCAGCUACUUGGGAGGCUGAGGCAGGGAGGAUUGCUUGAACCUGGGAAGUGGAGGUUGCAGUGAGCUGAGAUCGUGCCACUGCAUUAUAUCCUGGGUGAUAGAGUGAGGCUCCCUCUCAAAAAAAAAAAAAAAAAAAAGAAAAGAAAAGAAAAGAAAAGAAAAAUGCCCCAGAAAGGAUGCAAGACUGAAGGGGACAGAGGAAGGUGCCUGGGACAGUCUGGGGAGGAAGGGACCUCGAUCUAUUUACUUCGUUAGACCAAUAUGAGUUGAAUUGAAUUCCAGCUGUGGACCAGGAACUGCUCGAGGCCUGGAAAUGCAGUUCCAAUUCUUCUAGUAGAAAGAGCGGAUCUGAGAAGGCCUUCGGGGACAGAUCUGGGCAGCCUUAGGAUGUCUUUUUGCUCCCCUUAGAAGUUGCAUUUCAGAGCUGCAAGAAAACCCCCCUUCCUCAGGACAGUCUCAGCAUGGAUGCAUGUGUCCAGCCUACCUCCACACUGGCUCUACAGGGCUUGAGGCCAGCCAGGCUGAGCCAGGCAACCAAGCGGCUGAAAUUUAAUCCCAGUGGUGGCUCAGAUGUAACCACAGUUCUUGCCUCAGGGAAACCUGGCUGUGACCAGAGAAGGCAGAGAAAGUGACCUUCCUUACCACCUCUCCUCAUGACCAGAAGGAUUGGCACUCACUUCGGUGCCCUGGGGGAAUCCACCCUUGACUGAGGCCAGCAGCACCUGGGUCUGGACAAGGGCUGGUACCAGACAGUCUGUUCCAAAAAGCAGAUCCCUGGUGGGAGACCAGACGUGGUGAGAGAACAGACAGCUGCUGUUGCGCAGACGAGGACUCUGGCAUCACAGGCACUGAGGUCAAAUUCCUGUUUUGUCAUUUGCAGUGGCAAACCUCAGAAAGGGCCCCGUUCCUCCUCUGAAACUCUCUCUUCUGAACAGUGGGCUGAAUAAUAUCUACUGCACUGGGCAAUAUCUACUGUACCUGUUCUAGGCAAGGGAAACCCCUGGCCCAUGACUCGGGCUUAGCAAAAUCUAGUUCUUUUCCUUUCCCAGUCACACACACUUGCGCACACACACAGCAACCUAAUCUGCCCAGAUCUCCUGGCCAGGAGGUCAGAGGACCACUGCCCUGGAGAGCUCAUUAUUUGGGAGUAGAGACCUUUCCAGAGGAUUUCUCAGGGGAGGAAAUGGGCACUCUGAGGCUUUUCCAACAUUUCCAGCUGAGAAAAUUUAUACUGAAGGCUAACCUGCAGUUUGAACCAGCAAUUGCUGAUCAGAGACUCUCUUUACAAUUACGGACACUUGGCCAUAUGUGUCUUCCCCCGUUUCUAUUUACUUUCUGAGAGGAGGCAAGAAUCAGCCUCCUCCAGAGGCAAGAACCCCCUCCAGAGGAGGGGCUCUGCCUAGCCCCUCCAGAUCUCAGAAAGAGAUCCCUGGGGAUUGGCUGAAAGCAAACAGAAUCAAUGGCAGCGGGAAGAAUGAAAGUCAGAUUUCAGGUAGAACCUCCUGUCUCAGUAACAGGAGAAAAAUUCCUCCAGUAACCUUGAAUAUCUUCUGAACACGGAAACUGAGACCCAAAGAGGUCAAGCAACUGUCCAGAGUCACACAGCAUGGAACUGGCUGAACCAUGACCAAAAAUCAAGUCUCCUGACUCCCAGGCCAAGGUUCUUGCCAGGGCUCCCCAGAUGUCUAUCAGGGGAGGGAGAAAGAGGGAGGUGGAGAGAAGAAAGAGAGAGAGGGAGAGCGUGGGCAGCUCUCCUCCCUCUCCCACGUGCAGCCCAGCUGGCUGCCUCCCAGUCUCCUGGGCCCUGGGGAAUUUUCCAGCCUCUCUGGAUGAGAACAAUCAAUCUCCUGCCUCCACCGGACCCCCAACAUCCCCCAUCCAUGCCAAAGCUGAGGCCAUGACCCAAGUUGAGAAAAGAGAAUCUGCCCUCCACGCUCCUGCAUCCUGAGUUCCCCCCAUCUCCAGUGUUAGCCUUGGGCCUUCCUCACUGGAUUCUAUUCCACAGUGGCCACUGGGAGAGCCUGUCCUGCCAACCUCCUUGAACACCUGCCCCCUUUCUCCCAGACUUGGAGUGGGGGCCUAGGCAGCUGAGUUCCUCUCCGAGGCCCUGCACGGGCAUCUGGGUCUUGUGCCAUAGGCAUGUGGGAGUAGGGCUGAAGAGGGGGAUGUGGCUCUGAAUGCUGGCACAGCUGUGUUCAGAGAAUGGGGGCUUUGAUAGCUUCUGAAAGAGGCCAGGAAGCACGGGACCCCAGCCCAGGCAGGAGGGGGUGGGGGGCAGAAAUGGCUGAGUGUGGCUCUGAGGGCUCUUGCUGCCGCAGACAGGGAGUGUGGAGUGGGAGGGGAUGUGGAGCAGUAGGGAGACAGCAAUGGGGACUACAGGCUGAACAGCAUCAUCAGAGAGCCCCCCUGCUGCACCAGCAGGAGCCAGCGUCCCCAUGAGCUGGUCAGACCGCGCUUUGAGGGUUGCAAACCCAUGUGUUCAGAGGAGACCAUCAGCUUGUUGCACAAAGAACAGCGGGAGGAACUGGAGGGCUGGAGCCCGAGUACAUCUGAAUUUACCUCUUGAGGUCCCACCAGAAGGCUGCCUGUAGUGCCUCUCCCAGCCUCCUAUGGGGAAGGACCACUCAUUUGUCUGUGAUGUUGGGGCAGGUACUAAUCUCCCUGUGCUUCAGUUUCUUCACCUGUAAAAUGGUAAUAACCCCUUGUUGUAUGGUUUUGAUGUUGGAGCCAUGUAAAUAUUUUAUAUAAUUAAAAUACGAAAUUAAUUAG